rnacentral:rRNA from 1 species
UACGUAGGGUGCAAGCGUUAAUCGGAAUUACUGGGCGUAAAGCGUGCGCAGGCGGUUGUGCAAGUCCGAUGUGAAAUCCCCGGGCUUAACCUGGGAAUGGCAUUGGUGACUGCACGGCUAGAGUGUGUCAGAGGGGGGUAGAAUUCCACGUGUAGCAGUGAAAUGCGUGGAGAUGUGGAGGAAUACCGAUGGCGAAGGCAGCCUCCUGGGCCAACACUGACGCUCAUGCACGAAAGCGUGGGGAGCAAACAGG